UACGUAGGGCGCAAGCGUUGUCCGGAAUUAUUGGGCGUAAAGAGCUCGUAGGCGGUUUGUCGCGUCUGCUGUGAAAACCUAAGGCUCAACCUUGGGCUUGCAGUGGGUACGGGCAGACUAGAGUGCGGUAGGGGUGACUGGAAUUCCUGGUGUAGCGGUGGAAUGCGCAGAUAUCAGGAGGAACACCGGUGGCGAAGGCGGGUCUCUGGGAAACAACUGGACG
rnacentral:rRNA from 1 species